GGGUUGUGAGGUUAAGCGACUAAGCGUACACGGUGGAUGCCCUGGCAGUCAGAGGCGAUGAAGGACGUGCUAAUCUGCGAUAAGCGCCGGUAAGGUGAUAUGAACCGUUAUAACCGGCGAUUUCCGAAUGGGGAAACCCAGUGUGACUCGUCACACUAUCAUUAACUGAAUCCAUAGGUUAAUGAGGCGAACCGGGGGAACUGAAACAUCUAAGUACCCCGAGGAAAAGAAAUCAACCGAGAUUCCCCCAGUAGCGGCGAGCGAACGGGGAUGAGCCCAGAGCCUGAAUCAGCAUGUGUGUUAGUGGAAGCGUCUGGAAAGGCGCGCGAUACAGGGUGACAGCCCCGUACACAAAAGCGCAUAUGCUGUGAGCUCGAUGAGUAGGGCGGGACACGUGGUAUCCUGUCUGAAUAUGGGGGGACCAUCCUCCAAGGCUAAAUACUCCUGACUGACCGAUAGUGAACCAGUACCGUGAGGGAAAGGCGAAAAGAACCCCGGCGAGGGGAGUGAAAAAGAACCUGAAACCGUGUACGUACAAGCAGUGGGAGCCCCACCACUAAGCCAGUGGUGAACUCCACAUACGCAUCCUUUGCUGAGGAUGCGGUUAACGGAGCGAAAGCGACGUUCAACCGCAAAAGAAGCAGAGGGGGC
rnacentral:rRNA from 1 species